AACAAGGUCUCCGUUGGUGAACCAGCGGAGGGAUCAUUACCGAGUUUACAACUCCCAAACCCCUGUGAACAUACCACUUGUUGCCUCGGCGGAUCAGCCCGCUCCCGGUAAAACGGGACGGCCCGCCAGAGGACCCCUAAACUCUGUUUCUAUAUGUAACUUCUGAGUAAAACCAUAAAUAAAUCAAAACUUUCAACAACGGAUCUCUUGGUUCUGGCAUCGAUGAAGAACGCAGCAAAAUGCGAUAAGUAAUGUGAAUUGCAGAAUUCAGUGAAUCAUCGAAUCUUUGAACGCACAUUGCGCCCGCCAGUAUUCUGGCGGGCAUGCCUGUUCGAGCGUCAUUUCAACCCUCAAGCACAGCUUGGUGUUGGGACUCGCGUUAAUUCGCGUUCCCCAAAUUGAUUGGCGGUCACGUCGAGCUUCCAUAGCGUAGUAGUAAAACCCUCGUUACUGGUAAUCGUCGCGACCACGCCGUUAAACCCCAACUUCUGAAUGUUGACCUCGGAUCAGGUAGGAAUACCCGCUGAACUUAAGCAUAUCAAUAAGCGGAGGAA
rnacentral:rRNA from 1 species